AGAGUUUGAUCAUGGCUCAGAUUGAACGCUGGCGGCAGGCCUAACACAUGCAAGUCGAGCGGAUGAAGGGAGCUUGCUCCUGGAUUCAGCGGCGGACGGGUGAGUAAUGCCUAGGAAUCUGCCUGGUAGUGGGGGAUAACGUCCGGAAACGGGCGCUAAUACCGCAUACGUCCUGAGGGAGAAAGUGGGGGAUCUUCGGACCUCACGCUAUCAGAUGAGCCUAGGUCGGAUUAGCUAGUUGGUGGGGUAAAGGCCUACCAAGGCGACGAUCCGUAACUGGUCUGAGAGGAUGAUCAGUCACACUGGAACUGAGACACGGUCCAGACUCCUACGGGAGGCAGCAGUGGGGAAUAUUGGACAAUGGGCGAAAGCCUGAUCCAGCCAUGCCGCGUGUGUGAAGAAGGUCUUCGGAUUGUAAAGCACUUUAAGUUGGGAGGAAGGGCAGUAAGUUAAUACCUUGCUGUUUUGACGUUACCAACAGAAUAAGCACCGGCUAACUUCGUGCCAGCAGCCGCGGUAAUACGAAGGGUGCAAGCGUUAAUCGGAAUUACUGGGCGUAAAGCGCGCGUAGGUGGUUCAGCAAGUUGGAUGUGAAAUCCCCGGGCUCAACCUGGGAACUGCAUCCAAAACUACUGAGCUAGAGUACGGUAGAGGGUGGUGGAAUUUCCUGUGUAGCGGUGAAAUGCGUAGAUAUAGGAAGGAACACCAGUGGCGAAGGCGACCACCUGGACUGAUACUGACACUGAGGUGCGAAAGCGUGGGGAGCAAACAGGAUUAGAUACCCUGGUAGUCCACGCCGUAAACGAUGUCGACUAGCCGUUGGGAUCCUUGAGAUCUUAGUGGCGCAGCUAACGCGAUAAGUCGACCGCCUGGGGAGUACGGCCGCAAGGUUAAAACUCAAAUGAAUUGACGGGGGCCCGCACAAGCGGUGGAGCUUGUGGUUUAAUUCGAAGCAACGCGAAGAACCCUACCUGGCCUUGACAUGCUGAGAACUUUCCAGAGAUGGAUUGGUGCCUUCGGGAACUCAGACACAGGUGCUGCAUGGCUGUCGUCAGCUCGUGUCGUGAGAUGUUGGGUUAAGUCCCGUAACGAGCGCAACCCUUGUCCUUAGUUACCAGCACCUCGGGUGGGCACUCUAAGGAGACUGCCGGUGACAAACCGGAGGAAGGUGGGGAUGACGUCAAGUCAUCAUGGCCCCUUACGGCCAGGGCUACACACGUGCUACAAUGGUCGGUACAAAGGGUUGCCAAUCCGCGAGGUGGAGCUAAUCCCAUAAAACCGAUCGUAGUCCGGAUCGCAGUCUGCAACUCGACUGCGUGAAGUCGGAAUCGCUAGUAAUCGUGAAUCAGAAUGUCACGGUGAAUACGUUCCCGGGCCUUGUACACACCGCCCGUCACACCAUGGGAGUGGGUUGCUCCAGAAGUAGCUAGUCUAACCGCAAGGGGGACGGUUACCACGGAGUGAUUCAUGACUGGGGUGAAGUCGUAACAAGGUAGCCGUAGGGGAACCUGCGGCUG
rnacentral:rRNA from 1 species